rnacentral:rRNA from 1 species
GAGCUACUGAGACUAAUACUCUUGGAUAGUGGACGUUACUCGCAGAAUAAGCACCGGCUAACUCUGUGCCAGCAGCCGCGGUAAUACAGAGGGUGCGAGCGUUAAUCGGAUUUACUGGGCGUAAAGCGUGCGUAGGCGGCUUUUUAAGUCGGAUGUGAAAUCCCCGAGCUUAACUUGGGAAUUGCAUUCGAUACUGGGAAGCUAGAGUAUGGGAGAGGAUGGUAGAAUUCCAGGUGUAGCGGUGAAAUGCGUAGAGAUCUGGAGGAAUACCGAUGGCGAAGGCAGCCAUCUGGCCUAAUACUGACGCUGAGGUACGAAAGCAUGGGGAGCAAACAGGAUUAGAUACCCCGGUAG